AAUCCAAAUAAUAUUUUUGGACUAUAAAUUCAAGAAAUAUGGGUUUUUUUCUACACAAACAUACCUAAUGAAGUUUGAAGACUGAAAGGAAUUGUAACUGAGAAAGAGCUAUGGAGGGAGGAAGAAACAUCAGACCACUUGUGGUAAUGAUGUUCUUGUUGAUGUUUGUGCCCUCACAACAUGCCUUCUUAACGAUUACCAAAUGCUUCGGUUGCAUCCAAUGCCUCAUGCAUAGCCGUUCAAGAGCUUCAUGUGCUGAAAUAUGUAUUGACUGCUUCAUACCAGAGCAAGCUUCACUUAAUUUAGACACAAAUUUCAGUUGUGUCAAUGGUUGUGCCCAAUCCUCUUGCUCCAGUUACAUCAAUGAUGACAUAAAAUUGGAAGGGUGCAUGACUUCUUGUUCCAAAAGCUGCAACAGCGACUAAUGCAAUCCAUUGAAUCACAAGUCCCAUAUGCUGUUGUGAAAAUCUUCAUUUGGAAUCAAAGAAUAGUGUAAUCUCUAUAAUAAGAAGCCAUGAUACAUGGUAGAAGGCUAUUUAACUAAUAAAAAGGAUUUGCCAAUUUAUCUAGCAA